rnacentral:rRNA from 1 species
CCGUGACCCUUAAACAAAACAGACCGCGAACGAGUCACCCGUGCCGCCAGGCUUCGGCCCGGCACGUUGCCCCCCCAACCCUCCCACGGGGAAGGGUGGCCGCGAAAAAGAACCCACGGCGCCUCGGGCGCCAGGGAACACCAGUACUACCCCCUGCCCCGUGGAGCGGUCAGCCCGCCUUCCGCUCCCCGGGCAGCAGUUACACCUUAAUCGACACGACUAUCGGCAACGGAUAUCUCGGCUCUCGCAUCGAUGAAGAACGUAGCAAAAUGCGAUACCUGGUGUGAAUUGCAGAAUCCCGCGAACCAUCGAGUUUUUGAAUGCAAGUUGCGCCCGAAGCCUUCUGGCGGAGGGCACGUCUGCCUAGGCGUCACACCAAAAGACACUCCCAACACCCCCCCCCGUGGGGUUAGGGAAGUGGCGUCUAGCCCCCCGCGCCGUAGGGCGAGGUGGGCCGAAGCAGGGGCUGUCGGCGAACCGCGCUGGGUGCAGCACGUGUUGGGUGACAUCAAGUUGUUCUCGGUGCAGCGUCCCGGCGCGCAGCCGGCGCGUCGGCCCUACGGACCCAUCGAGCGACUGAGCCUGUUCUCAAACC